AACGCACAUUGCGCCCAAUGGUAUUCCAUUGGGCAUACCUGUUUGAGUAUCAGAAUCCUUUCAAUUAUCAAACUUUUACAUAUAGAGAUAUAUAUAAAGAUGUUUGGAAUACAAUUGAGAAAAGUAGUAUUCUUUAUAGUAUUGCUUUCUUAAAAACCAGAAAUACUAUGUUUUGAUUUUUCUUCACCUCAUUUUGUAUAUUAUUUAACAAAUGAGUACGAGUAAAAAUAUACAAUACUUUUGGAUGACCUCAAAUCAGGUAGGGAUACCCGCUGAACUUAA
rnacentral:misc_RNA from 1 species